UUUCCGGAAAGGAAGGAGAAAAGAAACACAAAGAUCAACAGAUUCAGGUCGUCCAAGUCUGCCAGUUCAUACCUUCAAACUCUUUAAUGAAGAAAGAUUUAGAUCACAGCUCACAUAAUCAGAAAGCAAGCAAGCUCAGAAGAAAAAAUAAAUACCAAGCAAAAUGCGUGAUGUGUCAAUUUUGAAUUGGCUAUGUUCCCAGGUUGAUAUACGGUGGGUCUUGACUAUGGAUCCUCUCCCUUUGAGCCAGGAAGUAUUGCUUCAAUUGUUUUGGCUUUUACCCUAUUCUAUCAAUACCAAUCCAACCGAAAUAAUUGCUUGGAUGACAGACGUUUUUAAUUCCAUAAUCCCAACUGAUCCCGCAAUUGAAAUGCAUGUGCGGCCCAUCUUCAAUGAAGUCUAUGCCACACUCAACCAUCUAAGUGUCUUGCCCACAAUUACCGAUGCUGUGCGAUCAAUUAUUUGUCUUCUGAUGAAGUCUUUACUUCCACCUUGAAACCAAUAUGAUAGUUAAUGAGCUAAAAUGAAUAUUUUGUGUGGGAGUUGUAAUGGAGCUGGCUUUCAAAUAGACUUCUCAAUGUACUGAAAAAGAUAUAUGAUGUUCAUAUAUAUUGUGUACUAGUUAAAGAGGUUGAGGUGAAUUUUGAUAAAGUGUUCAAGCUUUUUGGAUGGUGUAUGCAUGAAAUGGCAUGAUUUAUAUUAUUUUCUUUACAUUUUGUUCUGGAAUCUUCUUCUUCUUCUUCUUCUUCUUCUUCUUCUUUUUUUUUUUUUCCUUUUUCUUUUUUAUUUGCUUGGAUGUUAGGUUUUUGAGUUCUUUUCAUAAGAUCUGAGAGAGCAUGGGCCGAGGAGUUAGCAGCAGUGGAGGACAGCGUUCAUUGGGCUAUCUGUUUGGGAGUGGAGAGGCUCCUAAACCAGCUGCAACUAAUGCUGAAACUGCUCCAAACCUGCUGAAUUUAAACUCAUUAGCAACGCAGACCUCAAUUAUUCGCCAUGAUUUUGCACAUUCACUUGGAAUUGAAAUUUGAUUGUAUCUAGGGAUGGAAGCAAAUUAUCUACACGAGAUUUGCAAAAAAUGGUUCAAGCUUUGCCACAGUACACUGAGCAAGUUGACAAGAUUUCUGUCCAUGUGGAGAUUGCAGGAAAAAUUAACAGAAUUAUUAGAGAGAUGGGACUUCAAGAAAUUGGGCAACUGGAGCAGGAUCUAGUUUUUGGAGAUGUAGGAGCCAAGGAUGUUAUUAAUUUUCUGAUUACUUUUCCUGGAUCUCCGCUUCACCUGAAGGAAUAACUUAUCAUACUAAGUCCAUUCAGUGCUUACUUCGCAACCUGAAAUUACCUUUUUGUUUUUUUAAGACCAGCAAGAUGGUUGUUACUUGGUUGUGUUUGUAAUUAAAUGCAAUGUAAGAGUAAAAAAAGUUGGU